CCUACGGGAGGCAGCAGUGGGGAAUAUUGGACAAUGGGCGAAAGCCUGAUCCAGCCAUGCCGCGUGUGUGAAGAAGGCCUUCGGGUUGUAAAGCACUUUCAGUGGGGAAGAAAGCCUUGGGGCUAAUACCCUCGAGGAAGGACAUCACCCACAGAAGAAGCACCGGCUAACUCCGUGCCAGCAGCCGCGGUAAUACGGAGGGUGCGAGCGUUAAUCGGAAUUACUGGGCGUAAAGCGCGCGUAGGCGGUCUGAUAAGCCGGUUGUGAAAGCCCCGGGCUCAACCUGGGAACGGCAUCCGGAACUGUCAGGCUAGAGUGCAGGAGAGGAAGGUAGAAUUCCCGGUGUAGCGGUGAAAUGCGUAGAGAUCGGGAGGAAUACCAGUGGCGAAGGCGGCCUUCUGGACUGACACUGACGCUGAGGUGCGAAAGCGUGGGUAGCAAACAGGAUUAGAUACCCCUGUAGUC
rnacentral:rRNA from 1 species